rnacentral:rRNA from 1 species
UUACCUUCGGGUAAUGAGGAUGGCGGACGGGUGAGUAACGCGUAAGGAACUUGCCUCUUGGACUGGGACAACUGUUGGAAACGACAGCUAAUACCGGAUAUUAUGAGAUUCUCGCAUGAGAAAUUUAUGAAAGCUAUAUGCGCCAAGAGAGAGCCUUGCGUUCCAUUAGCUAGUUGGUGGGGUAACGGCCCACCAAGGCGACGAUGGAUAGCCGGCCUGAGAGGGUGAACGGCCACAAGGGGACUGAGACACGGCCCUUACUCCUACGGGAGGCAGCAGUGGGGAAUAUUGGACAAUGGGCCACAAGCCUGAUCCAGCAAUUCUGUGUGCACGAUGAAGGUCUUCGGAUUGUAAAGUGCUUUCAGUUGGGAAGAAGAAAGUGACGGUACCAACAGAAGAAGCGACGGCUAAAUACGUGCCAGCAGCCGCGGUAAUACGUAUGUCGCAAGCGUUAUCCGGAUUUAUUGGGCGUAAAGCGCGUCUAGGCGGAAAAAUAAGUCUGAUGUUAAAAUGCGGGGCUCAACUCCGUAUUGCGUUGGAAACUGUUUUUCUAGAGUACUGGAGAGGUGGGCGGAACUACAAGUGUAGAGGUGAAAUUCGUAGAUAUUUGUAGGAAUGCCGAUGGAGAAGUCAGCUCACUGGACAGAUACUGACGCUGAAGCGCGAAAGCGUGGGGAGCAAACAGGAUUAGAUACCCUGGUAGUCCACGCCGUAAACGAUGAUCACUAGUGUUGGGGG